rnacentral:rRNA from 1 species
AAUAGAUACCCCGGUAGUCCACGCCGUAAACGGUGGGAACUAGGUGUUGGCGACAUUCCACGUCGUCGGUGCCGCAGCUAACGCAUUAAGUUCCCCGCCGUGGGGAGUACGGCCGCAAGGCUAAAACUCAAAGGAAUUGGACGGGGGCCCGCACAAGCAGCGGAGCAUGUGGCUUAAUUCGACGCAACGCGAAGAACCUUACCAAGGCUUGACAUACACCGGAAAGCAUUAGAGAUAGUGCCCCCCUUGUGGUCGGUGUACAGGUGGUGCAUGGCUGUCGUCAGCUCGUGUCGUGAGAUGUUGGGUUAAGUCCCGCAACGAGCGCAACCCUUGUCCUGUGUUGCCAGCGUGCCCUUCGGGGUGACGGGGACUCACAGGAGACCGCCGGGGUCAACUCGGAGGAAGGUGGGGACGACGUCAAGUCAUCAUGCCCCUUAUGUCUUGGGCUGCACACGUGCUACAAUGGCAGGUACAAUGAGCUGCGAUACCGUGAGGUGGAGCGAAUCUCAAAAAGCCUGUCUCAGUUCGGAUUGGGGU